CGUUGUGUCAUCAGAAAUAUAGGUUGCCUGAGAUAAGCGUUCGAUUUGUUUGUCAACGACAGAUCGAGGACGAAACUCUCAACCUCGGAAGUGGACGGCACUUGGAAAUUUUAUUUCAAGGCCCACAAUUAAAUAAUUCAUGAGUACAGCGCGGAUGGGCACGUGGGUAUCAGCAGGGUAUAACCAACCGUUGGACCCUUCAAAUAAAACACGGAGGGGUGGAAUCGAAUUAAAAAGUAGGCCUAGGUGCUGCGCACUAACCUACACAACCACCCGCAUUGUGUACGGCCUACCUUUGUCCGUCAUGUCGUCCCGUCAAGUGAAAAAUAGAAACGAGUUACCGCUGGAAUCUCCUACCAGAUAAUUUCAGGUAUUAGAAUUAAUAGUCUCGAGAGCUAAUUAAUUAUUCCCAAAGUGUACUUCAUUUGCAUAUCCGAGAAAAAUCAAUUCUAAAAUAAGUUGGGGAAAUCCAUUUUUCUUUGCCCUUCGUUCAUCUUAUUAUCAAGUUCUACAACCGGAUCGAAGAACAUUUGAUUCGCCGAAUCGCUGAAAGCCGCCGAGGGCUCUUU
rnacentral:lncRNA from 1 species